UGCCCUUUUGUGGUAAACAGCCGCUGUAUUUUGACGGUGCUAAGGUAGCGAAAUUCCUAGCCUUUUAAUUGGAGGCCUGCAUGAAUGGCUUGACGAGCGCCUGACUGUCUCUCUCCCGCAUGUAGUGAAAUUAACUUUUGUGUGCAAAGGCACAAAUAAUUGAGUAAGACGAAAAGACCCUGUGCAACUUUACUAAGAAAAGAGGGGUUACCUACUUGUAGUUUAGCUGGGGCAGCUUAGGAAAAGAUAAAACUUCCUUGAAUUUAAGAUACUGGUAGGUUUGGAUCCGACGUAAUUAUUGUGUAGGUCGAGUAGCAGAAAAGUUACGCCAGGGAUAACAGCGUUAUCCUUCUGUGGAGGUCUUAUCUGCAGGGGGGAUUGCGACCUCG
rnacentral:rRNA from 1 species